CGAAGAUGAAAACACGGCCCGGUUGGUAGUCCGGGCGCGAAGCCGCUGGCGCAUGCGUGCGCCGUUGGUUUCGUCAGUAACCUGCCUCCUUGGUUGUCCGUUCUUCGUG
rnacentral:ncRNA from 1 species